CUGCUCGCAAUUGCUCAUGGGGCGGAGUGGGUUGGCACAAGUGAUGUACGCGACGGAAGCGACUAGUCCCAUGGGAAUCGAAAAUUGUUGAAAGCAGCUUUGCUGAAGUGACCCAGAACUGAGUUAUGUUUCAACAGUAUCGGGCAGUCGUUUCUUAUCUACAACGAAGAGCCUCUCCUGUUGUUACUUGGUCUAUGAAAGAUCCAAACCCCAGUCGUUAUUCAAUACAUACAGCUUAUCGGUGAGAAAUCGAAUCAUCCACUUACUUACUCAGACAACUGACGGCCUACAUGAUGGCAAAUUGUUGGGAGAAGUAAGAAAUGAUUGCGGCGGUUUAUAGACCCAAGUUGAUUUUCGAUGCUGAACAUGGACUACGAGCAUGCCUUGUCUACUCUAUAAUCUGCACAAGGAUUCCAUUGAACAGUGGCUUACGCCAGACAAAUGAACAAAUGAAACGUACGUCAGACGCCCAAACAGUGACUAAUUCUACUUCGUAAAGCACCUCAACCAAAAUUCUUUUCCUUAGCAACCCAAUGCCUUCAGUUCAAGUCAAGUGAGUCAACGCCCCAACGCUCUCCGAAGCCUUCUGAGCGUCUGGUGCCUCGUUCCGCCCAUCCGCCAACUCAGUCAGCCGCUUUCCGAUGGUGGUGGUCAUGGUGCUGUUGAGACUCAUUUUCCUUUUGCCCUAGACGGUUUUGCGUCUCCAUCCUCCUCAUUGUCGACGGCUCUUUGCACGGUCAUUUAGAAGAAGAAUAGCUCAGGUCCUUGUUGCGGACAGAACUGGGGCUCUAGAAAGACGUGGAUAGGAUAACGCUGGCGGCGGCUGAGGGUGCGCGAAGUAAUGACAGCGUGAUGGCGGGCUUUUCAAAUGUUUCGGCAUUUCCCACUACCCAGAGAGGAGACAAGAGCAACGACGACCAGCGCCAAAUAACGAGAUAAUAGAUAGACAAACGCUACCAUCGAAAUCGUUGACGGCGUCGAAGACGAUGGCUGCACUGGCGAGAACAGAGGUGGCGGCGGCCGAUGCAACGAGACCAACGUUUUCGCGCACUUAACCAGUUCAAAUUCGCAGGCGACUACACUCGAGACAGCAGCAGUUUCGACCGCAGCUACCAAAUGAAACGUCUCUCUUGUGGAUUCGGUCCCGUCCAUAUCAUUGCUGCAGCUGGCGUCGUUUGACAGGGCGGCCCCUGCGGACCGUUCGAAGUCGAUGGUGCUGACCACAAGAAGGGUGCUCAAAGACAAAACGAUAGACGCUAGCAGGGCGUUACUGUCAAUCAGCACGGCUGUGUCUAUGUCUGUCUUUGCUGCUAUAUGUGGCUACUGAUAGUUAAGCGGCAUGGAAAAAAUCGGCUUGGACACGUCACAUCAAAUUAAUGCUAGCCUUCGAAUCCGUUGUAGUAUAUUUCAUCAACAUAAAAAACAACAAUGUCGGAUUUUUUCUAAGUGAAUCUGUGUGCAUUUCUAUAUAUCUCUAUGAGUUGAGGCAAAAAGACGAGCGAAAAUAGUAGGAAACCGUAAAGGGAAAAAGGAUGUGGAAACCGGAAUGGCAAAGUCCCAAGAGAAGGAGAAGCUACAACUAUAGAAGUCAAAGUUAUCACCCGAGUAGUAGUCUCGUGUACUUCGCCUAGAAAAGUUUUUUUUUUUGCCGCCGACAAACACGGGAAAAGGGGCGGCUUCGGCUUGCCGUGGCCAUUUCGACCGUGGCAACUGUGCUAACGGCUGUUUAACAGAGAAAUCUGUUAACAAGAACCCCACCAGACAGAUAAGAUAGAAGCACGAAGUAAUAUCCGGACGAAAGGAAUAGCUUGCAUGUAAUAUAAUAACAACCAAUAAAGUAGCUAGCGAUAAUAUAAGUGCUUAUUCUAUUACUAUACCAUAUUUGUAUGAGGUUGUUUUUGGCGUUUUGGCGAUAUAGGGUCUAUAGCCGUAUUUUGUCCUAAUGAAAAAUACUCAGAUGACUGUAAUAAAAAAAACGUCAGUGCUCUACCUCGCACACUUUAUGCACCGUCCU